CCUCUUUCCCUGCCGCCGCCGAGUCGCGCGGAGGCGGAGGCUCGGGUGCAUUCAAGAUUCGGCUCCACCCGUAACCCACCGCCAUGGCCGAGGAAGGCAUUGCUGCUGGAGGUGUAAUGGACGUUAAUACUGCUUUGCAAGAGGUGCUGAAGACCGCCCUCAUUCACGAUGGCCUAGCACGUGGAAUUCGCGAAGCUGCCAAAGCCUUAGACAAGUACGUGUCUCGGUCUCAAUACUGUGGGUUGUUGCAACCGGAACAAAACUGCAGCCGAGGGAAGAAAGCGUGAAGUUCAUGGUGUUAGUCCAAAAGUUCUGAAUGGCAGCCGUUCUACAGGAAGCCUAGGAAAAGGCGCCAAGCCCAUCUUUGUGUGCUUGCAUCCAACUGUGAUGAACCCAUGUACGUCAAGUUGGUGGAGGCCCUUUGUGCUGAACACCAAAUCAACUUAAUUAAGGUAUGUUAUUCAUUUGACUUGAUUUAUAUGAAUUUGAGAUAAUUUAGUGAGUUGAAGAUUGACCCAGUUAAUUUUCACCUUGGUAUAGAACAGAACCAAGGCAGAGUGCUUAGACAGGUGAUCUUGGUGCUGUACAUGAUGACAACUGGCUCCCUCUACUGAAUUGUUGUGAGGAAACUGCCAGUGUCACCCUAUCUGACUACGGCUACCUUUUGGAGUUAAUUUGGUGUCACUCAUGUUAGUAUGUAGUAAUGUAAUUUUUGUCUGCUUUAUUCCUCUCCCGUAGGUUGAUGACAACAAAAAACUGGGCGAAUGGGUAGGCCUCUGUAAAAUUGACAGAGAGGGGAAGCCCCGUAAAGUGGUUGGCUGCAGUUGUGUGGUAGUUAAGGUAAGUCUGUGGGAAGUGGGUUAUGCUGGGUAACCAUGUAUAUGGCCCUAUAUUAGAGUCUGAGUUGUUAAAUAAGAACCUUUUAAAAGUUUAUGACUUCUAGAAAAGGGAAAUGGGCUAUAAUUAAGCCAGUCGGUGAAUCUGCUUACCUGGAUGUGUUUGCAGAAAUUUAGAAAAAACUGGCAAUAGCACAGCCAUGUUACGAGCCUUAAAGACACUGUAGUCAUUAAGGUCCCUGAAAGUGGCUACAAGACAUUUUAAUGAUGGGGAAGCCUUCUAAGACAAGCUGUAGUACUUUAAAACCUUUGCUAACAAUUUGGAGUUUAUAAUGACUAAAGUCUUGCAUAUGUGUUUUAUUUUAAGGACUAUGGCAAAGAGUCUCAGGCCAAGGAUGUCAUCGAGGAGUACUUCAAAUGCAAGAAAUGAGCAAAUAAAAAAAUUUGGCUAAUCAUCUCUGUUUUUUUAUUUGGACAAUGAAAGUGAUUGCAGGGAACAGUGAUUGUAAAAUAAGUACCAGCAAAAUAACAUCUUCGUUUUCUACAUGAAAGUCUAGUCUACAAAUGAGUAGCUUCAGUAUAGUCAGUUAAAACAACAGUGUAGCCAAAUGAUAGGGCUACAAUAGUGUACUGGUGACAGUUCUUGGGUGUGUAGACAUUAAGCGAUGAGUGGACACUAGUCAAGGCUGUUAACCCUGUACUUAUUGAGUGGGUUAAGGCAAAAACAUUACAGGGGGCAAGGUUGUGUGUAUUAUAUGGCACAUAUGAUAACCAUCAUCUAGGUUACACUGUAUGCUCUAUAAAUUUAGCUUGAGGCUCUGUACUCCAUGGGUAGGCAUGUGAGGAGAACCAGCCUUCAGGUAUAUUAGCAAAGAACAUUUUGUCCACUCUUGGGCACAUGAUGACCAUCAGUGCUUAUGGACAAAUCUUAGGAAAGAUCAUUGUGUCCAUUAACAAGAGUUAGGUGCAAAAGCAAAGAUGUGCUUAAUUUCCAUGUACCCAAAUCUAUAAGUGUAGGAACAAGUAAUGAUGUGUAAAGCAACCUUGGAAUCCAGUUAGGUAUGUUGAAAUGAGUGAAAUAUUGAGGCAGGAAGUUUUCCUUGAAUUCUUGAUCAAUCACUGGUAUUUUCAGUGUCUCCCUAGUAACCCUGCUGUAGAUUAUGGGGGGACCUGCUUUGAAGCUGAAUUUAAGAUCUGGUUUUGAAUGCACAGUUUGAUGGUUACUGUUUCUGCAUGCCAAGAGCUGUUAUCAAGAUACACCCCUAUUAGAUUUCAGUAUUUUAAUUAUCCCUUCCAAUUUUUUUACAACUAUUGUAACAAAAGUUGAGGUGUGUAUUGAAAAUCAAGUGAAUAUACUAUGUUAACACUAAGUCUAAUUCUAUUGGUUCUGAUUAAAAUCUGCCUUACAAAAUAUUUACUGCUAAUAUACCUGAAGGCUGGUUCUUUUCACAUGCCUACCUGUGGAGUACAGAGCCUCAAGCUAAAUUUAUAGAGCAUACAGUGUAACCUAGAUGAUGGUAUCAAGUGAUUUUUCUUGGGGAUCAGCAUAUAAAUUUUAGUUUCCUUGUAUCUAUAUUGGGUGUUCUGCAUCUGGCACAUUAGAGUAGUUGGAAAUCCAAUUGUCAAAAUACCUUGAAAGGGUUUUUGUUGGGGAAUUGACUGUCCAUUCUCAAAAGAGGUGCCAGAGGCCAUCUGUGAACUAAAAUGAUAGGAGACUUCGUAAUGGUCAAAUUUGUAAGUUCCUCCACAUUUGUCCUAGACUGCGCUAGACCUCUUGUUGUCCUUUUUAAAGAAUGUUUUGUCCACAUUUGAGCUUUUGUAGUACACCCAGUCCUUUGUCCUGCCCCCUCUGCUUUUCAACCUGUGUUAUCUGUAUUCAACACCUUUUCCUGGAAGUCACAUUUGAAGCUUUUGAAAGAUUUGAGUUUACAAGUUUCAAAAUCUUAGUGCUUUUGAUUUGACUUGGGCCAUCUCUGUUAUAGUGCGAUGUACUACAGCACUCUCUUGAGUGUCCACUUUGCAAGUUUUGUAUACCUCAAAGUAUUCCUUUAAAAGUUUGUUAGAAGGAAGGGAAACAAUUGGACAUUGGUAUACAUGCUCUGUACAAAAUUUACAUUCAUUUUCCUGUGUUUUUACCAGUUUACCAAGCUGGAGACUUUCCUUGGCCAUCUACUUAAAACCAUCAGAGGUGCCUCAUGCUACUGUUUGCAACAGCCUCACAACUAGUGUCAUGGUAACUUUGGUUUGUCAGCCAACCAGGGAUGUGAUUAAAUGUGAUUGUGCCCAUCUCUACAUUCUGCUGCCAGAAAUAACUUUGUCUUGCAAUUAUUUCUUGCAAACCAAUUUAAGCAAAACUAGCUUUAUAGAUUUGAUUGUUUAGGGAUUCCGGGGGAUCCUCAAUCAUUGGAGUGUCAGGGCAAAAGCAAUGCCUUCUUUUUGUUGGGGAGAAUGAACAGGGUAUCUUUUUCACUCCAAGUAGAACUAGGCCAAUCCCUGGUAGUUCUCUUGUUCCCAGGGUCAGUAAAACAUGCAUCCCCGUUGCCUAUAACCCAGAUGAGUCUUUAUUUUUUUGGUUCUAGUAACUCUUGCAGUUUAAUUUUCGUCAGGUCCGUUUAUUCGAGUUUCUAUUCAGUAUAUAUUUAAGCCAUUUGAAAUGCUUUAAAUCAGGACAUCCAUAGGAAAAAAAGCUGUGUUCUAGUGUUUUUAGUUGCAUUGUAGUGGAACCGUAAUAUAGGCAUAGGUGCUAUGCAUUCUCAAGAACUGUGUAAACAACUUACUAGGCUCAACUGAGGACUAGUCUAGCUCUUAGGAUGUUUGGAUUUUUAAAAUAUUUUUAGGUGAGUGUACAUAAAGUUGGACUUUGAAAAGGGAAUGUGCUGGAAAAGAGAUGUGCUUCUGUAGGUAGAAACUGUCUUCAUUUCCCUUUUUGAUAAGAACUAAACAGUUGUGAAAGGUUGAAUACCCCAGCUGUCACCUGUGGCCUUGCCAACCCAGAAUACCUUUAGUUAAGAGAACACAUUUAUCAAUCAAUUGCAAAUAAAAGAAUGGUUAUAAUACAUACUCAUCAGACCUAUUAGUAAUACUUUUGUCAGUUGAAGGAGAAUGAUUAGGUAAAAUGUGUAUUUACAUUGUUGUAUAUUAUGUUGCCAUAUAAAUGGACAGUACAGAAGGAUAUUAAUAUAAAUUUUGUAAGCAGUAUUGAAAACGUACAAUAGGACCACAUUUUUUUUAAAAAUAGGUAAUAAUAAAAUUGAGCGCAUGUAGGUAGAGGAGAAAGAUCGGAAGGAUAUGUAGCAGGUUUUUAAUGGUUUCUAAAAAGGUGGAUAUUGGUCUUUUGCUUAUUUUUUGGUUUUUAGUCAACAUGUACUGCUUUUGUAGAAAGAAACAUUUUUAACUGAACAUGAAGUGAUAGUACAAUAUGUGAAUUUUGGCAUCGUAUUUAAAAUUUAUAUUUCGUGACUGUAUAGUACAAUUGGACUUAAAAAA